rnacentral:rRNA from 1 species
UAAUACGGAGGGUCCAAGCGUUAUCCGGAUUCAUUGGGUUUAAAGGGUGUGUAGGCGGAAAGGUCAGUCAGUGGUGAAAUCCUGCAGCUUAACUGUAGAACUGCCAUUGAUACUUCCUUUCUUGAGUCUAGAUGAAGUGAGCGGAAUGUGUCAUGUAGCGGUGAAAUGCAUAGAUAUGACACAGAACACCGAUUGCGAAGGCAGCUCGCUAAGCUAGUACUGACGCUGAGGCACGAAAGCGUGGGUAGCGAACAGGAUUAGAUACCCUGGUAGUCCACGCCGUAAACGAUGAUUACUCGAUGUUGGCGAUAUAAUGUCAGCGUCCAAGCGAAAGUGUUAAGUAAUCCACCUGGGGAGUACGGUCGCAAGAUUG